AGAUGAUAAAAUAGAAGCAUGGAAAGAUCCAGCAUUACACCCAAGGUUGGGCAGCAAAGAGAAGAUCUGAAGCCAGGGGCUACCUUUUGUCACAAUAUACUUUACAUCCCACCACUGAUGAAUGGAUUAAGAAAAUGUGGUAUCUAUACACAAUGGAAUUUUGUGCAGCCAUGAAGAAGAACGAAAUGUUAUCAUUCUCUGGUAAAUGGAUGGAAUUGGAGAACAUCAUUCUGAGUGAGGAAACUCAAUUGGAACUAGUAAAGUCCCUCCACAAAGAGGUUUCCAAGAGAUAAUGGAAGAACUGGAUGGCAUGUUUAAAAGUAGGUGGGCUGCCAAGUUAAUUUGUUGAGAUGGGAUCUGCUAACUCUUUCCCUGGGCUGGCCUUGAACCAAGAUCCUCCCAAUCUCCACCUCCCAAGUAGCUGGGAUUACAGACAU